rnacentral:rRNA from 1 species
GACGUAGGAGGCGAGCGUUGUCCGGAUUCAUUGGGCGUAAAGAGCACGCAGGCGGUUUGGCAAGUCGGAUGUGAAAUCCAGAAGCUCAACUUCUGGCCUGCAUCCGAUACUGCCCGACUAGAGGUAGGUAGGGGAGAUCGGAAUUCCUGGUGUAGCGGUGAAAUGCGCAGAUAUCAGGAGGAACACCGGUGGCGAAGGCGGGUCUCUGGGCCGAUACUGACGCUGAGACGCGAAAGCGUGGGGAGCGAACAGG